AGGUGUAACACAUCAGGGUGGGGCAGACAAUCAAACAGGAGGAAAAGCAAGACAGGAAGUAAAACAAGACAAGACAAGGGAGAAAAACAGAGACUUCAAAAUAAAACAGGAAACACUAACAACAGAAACUCACAAUCGUGACAUUUCGCCGACACACAAC